GUAAUUGUAAUUAAAACAAGAAACGUCUCGAGUCCUUUCUUCCCCAUUGAUGUUUGCUUCCUCUCUCUAUAGCCCCUUCAUCCUAGCAAUCUCUUCUCCACUCUAUUGAUUCAUCGCACAAUCUAUGGGUGGGUAGCAUCACGAUGGAUGCGACGGAGUCAGAUAUGACGGAGCUGUUACGUGGAGGAAGCCCUGGCGGCGAAGGUCCAAUAAAUGCUCUCGCGUUCAAACUGUAAACCCAAUUAGCUUCUCUCUCGCUCACCAUCCACCGUCACCGUCGCCGUUGUAUCAUAACCUUGCCCUAAUGGAGGAGGGACGUCAGAAGGACUUGCAGUUGUUGGAAGAAAUCAUUGAUAAAAGGUUUAAAACAGAAGCUUUUACAGACUAUUGCUUCACGGGACAAGAUCUUUGAAGAUCAAAAAGCACUGUAUCCUUCUUGUAUAGGAAUGUCUCUUGCUUCUCAGUCUCUUGUACUUCGGAGGAGCUGUUCUUGGUUUAGUCAUUCACAAUACUUUGCUGUUCUAGUGAGUCUUAUUUACACUAGCAAAGUCAUCAGCACGAAGAUGGUGAUGCAGAGAGGAGGAGGUGGUCGUCCCAGUGGUCCUCAGGCUCGUCAUAUGCGAAUUGCUGAAUGUCUUGUUGGUGAUAGUAGCUUGACAAAAUGGGUUCUUGCUCUACGUCGGAUUUGGCUUCUUUAAGCAUUUUGACCCAGACAUCACCACAGUCCAGAGAGGAUCUUUUAAGGAGGAGACAAGAUGAGAUUGGUCAAGUGUUGGUUCUGCUCUUCUACGAUAUAUCCAGGACAUGGUAUUCAGUUUGUCCACAACGAUGCUAAGGUACAUCAACUUUUCCAA